GAUGAACGCUAGCUACAGGCUUAACACAUGCAAGUCGAGGGGCAGCACAGUGUAGCAAUACAUGGGUGGCGACCGGCGCACGGGUGCGUAACGCGUAUCCAACCUUCCCGUUACUCUUGGAUAGCCUUCCGAAAGGGAGAUUAAUACAAGAUGGUAUUCAAAUUCCGCAUGUUAUUUGAAUUAAAGAUUUAUCGGUAACGGAUGGGGAUGCGUGACAUUAGGUAGAUGGCGGGGUAACGGCCCACCAUGCCUACGAUGUCUAGGGGUUCUGAGAGGAAGGUCCCCCACACUGGAACUGAGACACGGUCCAGACUCCUACGGGAGGCAGCAGUGAGGAAUAUUGGUCAAUGGUCGGAAGACUGAACCAGCCAAGUAGCGUGAAGGAUGAAGGUUCUAUGGAUUGUAAACUUCUUUUAUACGGGAAUAAAACCUCCCACGUGUGGGAGCUUGUAUGUACCGUAUGAAUAAGCAUCGGCUAACUCCGUGCCAGCAGCCG
rnacentral:rRNA from 1 species